rnacentral:hammerhead_ribozyme from 1 species
AUGCAGCUGGUGAGUCCGAAAUAGAACGAAACGCUCGUCCUGAAU